rnacentral:rRNA from 1 species
UACGGAGGGUGCUAGCGUUGUUCGGAAUCACUGGGCGUAAAGGGCGUGUAGGCGGUCUGUUAAGUCUGAUGUGAAAUCCCCUCGCUCAACGAGGGAACUGCGUCGGAUACUGGCAGACUUGAGUACCGGAGAGGAAGGUGGAAUUCCCGGUGUAGCGGUGAAAUGCGUAGAUAUCAGGAGGAACACCUAUUGCGAAGGCAGCUCGCUGGGACGUAACUGACGCUGAGACGCGAAAGCGUGGGGAGCAAACAGG